UACGAACUAGUUGAACCGGCUAAAAAGUCGAUUGAACCAUUAGAUAAACCGGUUGAAUUGAGAUUUUUAAUUUUUUUUAAUUUUUAAUCAAACUAAUAAAUCGGUGACUUGACCGACUUAAUCUUUCAUCCUAUUUAAAAAAUAUUGGUAAUAACUAAUUACACUAUCGCGAGCAGAGUCUUUAAUUUGAAACAAAAAUAUGAGGCUUGAAGGAGCUUUGCUCGAUGGCGCAUGAGUAGCAGGCCGCGGGGCUAACCUUCCUGCAAAACAAACUUUUCAGUUUACAUAUUGUGUGGAUUAUAGAUAUAAAAAUAUCGAAGAACAGGGGCAAUAAUGAAAACAAGAAACAAAAGAUGCAAAAAGAAAUGGAAUACAUCCCAUAUCUGCAACCAAAAAAAAAUUUGUCAAAAUUUCACUACACUCUAAUUUCUAGAGUAACCUUUAAAUUUUAAUGUUGGUCUUUUUUUGGGGUCAGGAGAAGUCUUGUUUCCGUCACUUAUUUUGAUCCAAAAUGCAACACUGUUACAUAAACAUAUGUGACACAGUAGACAAAUGAAAUUGUUAGACGAGCAAACCUUUGUGCUAGUGUCACGGGGCUAGACCUUUCGUCUCGCAAACCGUGCGGCCUUAGGCGAUCCGUUUGCUCCAAACUCACCCAAGUCAGCCUUAACUCAAAUGAGGAUUCCUUAAGAACUCCUCCAAGGCACCAAUUGAAGAGCGGAAGUAAUUUAUGCCAAAAGAAGCUAAGCCAAAGAACAACAGAAAGCCACAGAAAAGAAUGCACACAAGGUGUUUGAGUAAAUGCUCUCAGAACUCUAUUACUCUUAAG
rnacentral:lncRNA from 1 species